rnacentral:rRNA from 1 species
UCGACUAAGCAUGCGAGUUGAGAGGGGUAAGCCCUCGGCGAAUUGCUCAGUAACACGCGGAUAACCUGCCCUUGGGUCCGGGAUAACCCCGGGAAACUGGGACUAAUACCGGAUAGAUCAAAGAUACUGGAAUGUUCCUUGGUCCAAAACUCCGGUGCCCAAGGAUGGGUCUGCGGCCUAUCAGGUUGUAGUGGGUGUAACGUACCUACUAGCCUACGACGGGUAAGGGUUGUGAGAGCAAGAGCCCUGAGAUGGAUUCUGAGACAUGAAUCCAGGCCCUACGGGGUGCAGCAGGCGCGAAAACCUUACACUGCUAGAAAUAGCGAUAAGGGGACCCCGAGUGCCAGUACCUAGUACUGGCUGUCCCGCUGUCCAAACAACAGUGGUUAGCA